GGUGACGUGGCUGAGCGGUUUAAAGCACUGGUCUUGAAAACCAGCAAUCGGAAACGAUUCGUGAGUUCGAAUCUCACCGUCACCU
rnacentral:tRNA from 1 species